rnacentral:lncRNA from 1 species
CGGAGAGCCAUGGCUUCAUGCAGUAGCAGAUUCCUUGACAAAAACCUGGUGUCUGACCCAUAACGUGACCCAUGGAAAACUGGUUUUGAUCACUACAACCCUGAGUUCCUGAAAGCCAUUAUACCCAGUAUGAGCUGAGGUAACCUGGAAUGGCAAUCCAUAGCAGAAUAAACACACGCAGAGACAGUGCGUCUGCAGGGUGCUCAAGGGAACCGGAGUGCUGGGAGAUCACCCCCAGGAACACAGGGAGAGUAGGUCAAUCAACACCCAGAAAACACCCCAGUCCAGAGCACAACCCAGCACCCAGGAGCGGUGAAGCAACGGAGCUAAGGGCCACUCAAUUGAGAAGGAUUUCCCCCACCGAUCACUUACAGGACCUGAUGCUGUUCUGAAGUCAAACCACAGAGCCGAAGAUCUGCCCGUAUACUGCAAGUUGCAGAUUUGAAGAAUGCUGGCAUUCCUUAGGUCACCUGAAAUUUUCUCUUUACUCCAAAACUGGAGAAUGGGCUAUUGGAAUGGAAAUUCAGAAUGUCUUCUUCACCUUUGACCUUGAAGGCUUGGGCCAACAUGUCAUCCAGUCCUACAGUUUUGCCAUUCUUGAGCUCUUUGAUGGAAGGGAAGGCUCAGCAAGUGACCUUUUUCAAAAGGUGGAAUGAAUUUGACUAUGUCUUCCACCACAGUUGACUCGCUUUUCAGGAUCAUCUUGAAGUGCUUCUUCCAUCUAGCUUGACAGACUUUUGGGAAACACAAACUUGUCAUGUGAUCAGAGUGGAGUGUAACAGUAGGUGCCUGGCUUUGAUGACCUACUAAUUGAUCCCUGCUAAUGAUAAGUAAUAUGUUUAUUAGAAAAUCCCAGAUUGUUCUCAUAUAUAAAAGUUUAUUUUACAGUUUAGUGUUAAUUAUUCGUCUGCUAUAGAGCGACCAACUGACCUUGUCUCUUCUGGAACCAUUCUUAUAUUCUUAUGCAUUUCUAGACUGUGACUCCUAAACUGUUCCUGAGCCUUGCAUGAGCUUGGUGCCUUUUGAAUCCCCAACCCCAACUGGGAAACGUCCAUCUGGCUCCUCUAUCUCCUUUUGAGGCAAAGGAAACACAGAGUGUCCUGGACGAAGACCCUGCAUUCCCAUAUGGAGGACAGACAUGGCUCAGAUGAGUCUGCUCCAUCCUGCGGGCUUUCUGCCACAAUGUCAGUAUAACCUAACGGGUCAGGAAUCCUGGUUUUAGUCAGCACAUGAUUCUGAGCAAAUGAUCACCAGGACUUCUCCUACACUCCGGGGGGAACAGAUGCAAGAGCCCAACAAGACUUUUCAUUCUUCCCACAGUCCCAUCUUUUUUGUGGCACCACUCGCACUCCCUUAUUGUGGUUGCUUUGGAGAUUUUGUACUAAAGUGAUGUAUAACACAUUUUUCUCACUGCCUUCAGACAACAUUUACUGGAAAUAAGGGAAAGUGCUAAGGCAGUUUGUACUUACUAAUAAAAGAUUUUAGUGGCAA